GUCUACGUCCAUACCACCCUGAACACGCCCAAUCUCAUCUGAUCUCAGAAGCUAAGCAGGGUCAGGCCUGGUUACUACUUGGAUAGGAGCAAGUAGAGUUGUUAUAGUGG
rnacentral:rRNA from 1 species